GCCGCCUUAGCUCAGUUGGCCAGAGCGACGCACUCGUAAUGCGUAGGUCGACGGUUCGAUUCCGUCAGGCGGCUCCA
rnacentral:tRNA from 1 species